rnacentral:rRNA from 2 species
GGGUUGUGAGGUUAAGCGACUAAGCGUACACGGUGGAUGCCCUGGCAGUCAGAGGCGAUGAAGGACGUGCUAAUCUGCGAUAAGCGCCGGUAAGGUGAUAUGAACCGUUAUAACCGGCGAUUUCCGAAUGGGGAAACCCAGUGUGACUCGUCACACUAUCAUUAACUGAAUCCAUAGGUUAAUGAGGCGAACCGGGGGAACUGAAACAUCUAAGUACCCCGAGGAAAAGAAAUCAACCGAGAUUCCCCCAGUAGCGGCGAGCGAACGGGGAGGAGCCCAGAGCCUGAAUCAGCAUGUGUGUUAGUGGAAGCGUCUGGAAAGGCGCGCGAUACAGGGUGACAGCCCCGUACACAAAAGCGCAUGUGCUGUGAGCUCGAUGAGUAGGGCGGGACACGUGGUAUCCUGUCUGAAUAUGGGGGGACCAUCCUCCAAGGCUAAAUACUCCUGACUGACCGAUAGUGAACCAGUACCGUGAGGGAAAGGCGAAAAGAACCCCGGCGAGGGGAGUGAAAAAGAACCUGAAACCGUGUACGUACAAGCAGUGGGAGCACCCUUUGGGGUGUGACUGCGUACCUUUUGUAUAAUGGGUCAGCGACUUAU